rnacentral:pre_miRNA from 1 species
CAAAUAUUUCCUCUGUCCAACAAUAGAUGUCUCAAGUUUGUCAAACUUUGGAUGUAUCUAGAUAUGAUUUAAUGUACAGAUAUAUUCAAAUUUGGUUAAAGUUGAGACAUACUUUGUUGGAUGGAGGGAGUACCUG